CCUACGGGCGGCAGCAGUGGGGAAUUUUGCGCAAUGCUCGUAAGAGUGACGCAGCGACGCCGCGUGAAUGACGGAGGCCUUCGGGUCGUAAAGUUCUUUCGACAGGGAAGAAAAUGCCUAUAAGUAACUGUGUAUGUAUUGACGGUACCUGUAUAAGCAGCCCCGGCUAACUCCGUGCCAGCAGCCGCGGCAAUACGGCGGGGGCGUGCGUUUGUCGGAGUGACGGGGGGUAAAGAGGACGUAGGCGGGGUUGUAAGUCAUUAGGAAAAGACUAGAGCUCAACUUUAGUAAGGCUAGUGAUACUAUAAUACUAGAGUAUCAGAGAGGAAUGCAGAAUUCCUGGUGUAGCGGUGAAAUGCGUAGAUAUCAGGAGGAAUACCGUUAGCGAAGGCGGCAAUCUGGCUGGAAACUGACGCUGAGGUGCGAAAGCGUGGGUAGCAAACAGGAUUAGAUACCCUUGUAGUC
rnacentral:rRNA from 1 species